UACGUAGGGGCCAAGCGUUGUUCGGAUUUACUGGGCGUAAAGGGCGCGUAGGCGGCUUGUUAAGUCACUUGUGAAAUCUCUAAGCUUAACUUAGAACGGUCAAGUGAUACUGAUGUGCUAGAGUGCAGAAGGGGCAACCGGAAUUCUUGGUGUAGCGGUGAAAUGCGUAGAUAUCAAGAGGAACACCUGAGGUGAAGACGGGUUGCUGGGCUGACACUGACGCUGAGGCGCGAAAGCUAGGGUAGCAAACGGG
rnacentral:rRNA from 1 species